rnacentral:rRNA from 1 species
AGUCGAGCGGAUGAGAGGAGCUUGCUCCUUGAUUUAGCGGCGGACGGGUGAGUAAUGCCUAGGAAUCUGCCUGGUAGUGGGGGAUAACGUUCCGAAAGGAACGCUAAUACCGCAUACGUCCUACGGGAGAAAGCAGGGGACCUUCGGGCCUUGCGCUAUCAGAUGAGCCUAGGUCGGAUUAGCUAGUUGGUGAGGUAAUGGCUCACCAAGGCGACGAUCCGUAACUGGUCUGAGAGGAUGAUCAGUCACACUGGAACUGAGACACGGUCCAGACUCCUACGGGAGGCAGCAGUGGGGAAUAUUGGACAAUGGGCGAAAGCCUGAUCCAGCCAUGCCGCGUGUGUGAAGAAGGUCUUCGGAUUGUAAAGCACUUUAAGUUGGGAGGAAGGGCAUUAACCUAAUACGUUAGUGUUUUGACGUUACCGACAGAAUAAGCACCGGCUAACUUCGUGCCAGCAGCCGCGGUAAUACGAAGGGUGCAAGCGUUAAUCGGAAUUACUGGGCGUAAAGCGCGCGUAGGUGGUUCGUUAAGUUGGAUGUGAAAGCCCCGGGCUCGACCUGGGAACUGCAUCCAAAACUGGCGAGCUAGAGUACGGUAGAGGGUGGGUGGAAUUUCCUGUGUAGCGGUGAAAUGCGUAGAUAUAGGAAGGAACACCAGUGGCGAAGCGACCACCUGGACUGAUACUGACACUGAGGUGCGAAAGCGUGGGGAGCAA